AGAAGUUUAAGAAAUCUUGAUUAGUUGUUUCUUAUCUGUUUUUUAAGGUUAAAGAAGUUUUAAGUAAAAAAUUAUUUUAUUAAAGUAAGUAUAAUAAUGAACAUUUAAUGUGAGGUUAUAGUUUAGUUUGGUACCGUAUGGGAUUGUUAGUUGAUUAAAGUAAAGAAAAAAUUAAUUUUUGUACCUUUUGUAUCAGGGACAAUCAAAAUAUUUAAUUUAUAUAUUGAAGUCUCGAAGUAAAAUGAGCGAGUAAAUUAUUAUUGUUUAUGUAGAAAAAUGAAAUUAUCAAUAGUUUACUAGUGGUGAAAUGCCAGGCGAUUUUUAUAUAUCUAGUUUUUUCUGAAACAAAUUUAAUUUGAUUUCUUAUUUUAAGAUGUAAGAAUUAGACUCUAAGAGGGAUGAGCUUCUUGAGUAUACAAACAAGGAAGAAGCAGUCAUAUUGUCUUUUAUUUAGGCUUAAGAUCAGCCAUAUUUUUAUAUCGUUCUAGAUGAUAAGUUUAUUAAAGACUAUUUUUAUAUUGCCUGUUAUUGUAGUAAGAAAAAUUUUAUUUAAAUUUAUUUUGUAAUUUUAUAAUGGUUGUAUUAGUAGAUAAUGGUUUUGUGAUUAAAGGAAUCUAGAUUUUUAGAUCUAAUUAUACAAAUUAUACAGUUGUAGUUAAAGAACUCGGCAAAUUUUACUUCUGCCUGUUUAUCAAAAACAUGUCUGUGCGAGUAAAGUUGAUGUACAGUCUGACCUGCCCACUGAAGUUUUUAAAGGGCCGCGGUAUCUGAACCGUGCUAAGGUAGCAUAAUAAAUAGUCUUUUAAUUGAGGUCUAGUAUGAACGGUUGGACAUGAAGUAGGCUGUUUUAACUGCAAGGGUUGAACUUUACUUUUAAGUGAAAAGGCUUAAAUUUUAUGGUGGGACGAUAAGACCCUAUAAAGCUUUACGUGUUAUCUGUUUGUUAAAGAGUGUACGGUUCUCUACUCUUAUCAGUUAAAGACGUUUCGUUGGGGCGACGAAAAUAUAAAAUGGUAACUGUUUUUAUUGUAAAAAUAAAUUUUUUUAGGGGAGUUGAUCCUUCAUAGAGAUUAUAAGAAUUAAGUUACUUUAGGGAUAACAGCGUAAUUUUUCUUGAGAGUUCAUAUCGACAGAAGUAGUUGCGACCUCGAUGUUGAAUUAAGAUACCCCUUAGGUGUAGGAGUUUUGGUGGUAGGUCUGUUCGACCUUUAAAAUCUUA
rnacentral:rRNA from 1 species